rnacentral:rRNA from 1 species
GACGGAGGAUGCAAGUGUUAUCCGGAAUCACUGGGCGUAAAGCGUCUGUAGGUGGUCAAAUAAGUCAACUGUUAAAUCUUGAGGCUCAACCUCAAAAUCGCAGUCGAAACUAUUAGACUAGAGUAUAGUAGGGGUAAAGGGAAUUCCAGUGGAGCGGUGAAAUGCGUAGAGAUUGGAAAGAACACCGAUGGCGAAGGCACUUUACUGGGCUAUUACUAACACUCAGAGACGAAAGCUAGGGUAGCAAAU